GUCGCCUCGCCGCUGCUGGCUCCCGGGUUAGCCAUUAGUCUUCUCUGCAGGUGGCCCGCCCAGCAGCACCUGCUGAAUGCCUACUGUGUGCCCGCGCAGCUGCACGCUCCACGGUGCCCAGCCCUCGGCACGAAGGGGCCAGCUCUCAGCCCGCUUGAGUUACCUCCCGGGAAAGCCCCCGAGUGCUGGCCCACAGGUCAGGCCCUGGCCUUGACCUAGGGCCCGGGGCGGGGCGCGUGCAUUGGCGGGUCUCAGGCCUGCGCCGCGCACCGCGUGCUGAGAAUGACCCUAAACCGCAGGCUCUCUUGUAAACCUCGUGUGGUCCACUGGUGCACCGAGAAUGCUUCUGCUUGCUUUCGCUGGACUCUUGCACCCGCGGCCAGCCUGUGCUUGAAAUCCCCCCGGUGAUUGUCCAGAACGGAGUUGCUUCCCAGCCUCCCACAUUAAAUGUUAUAAACUUGCAUUGAAUGUAAUAGGUGAUACGAACACGGUUGAGGUUGCAUUAAGUAAGAAGUGAAGCCCAAAAGACACUGGAAUUUCAUCAGUGAUCCGAGCAUCUUCUUGAUGAUGGUUUACAAAUACUAUUCUUCCUCGAUGUGUUGUGCUGUUUGCAAUAGAAAGGCUACAGACUUGACACAAAGUUUAGUUUAACUACAUUGUUGAUUUUCUCUAUUACUUCCUAAAGUCCAGACAGAGGGGUUAGCAAGUAUCUUCCACAAAGGGUCAGAGGACCAAAAUAUUUUAGGCUUUGCCGGAUACACAUAAUCUGUCACAUAUUCUGUUUUGUUUUGUUUAACACCCUUUUCAACCUUCAGGCUCUGAACUAUAGAAUUUUCAGAUGGAUGAGUUCAAGCUACCAAGGUGGAGUGUCUGAGCACGGGGUUGGGAACACUGUUUCCAGCAUGUGGAUCCAAUAGAGGUAAAUAAUCUUCAGAGCAUAGGUCAUGGUAGGAUAAUUGGGAAGUAAUGUGUUUUGAGACUUUGUUGUCCAUAGUACUGAUUUCACUGUAAACUUAUAUAAUUUAAUUUUUGAUACUGUUUGUUUAACAGCAAGCCCACAGAAUUUAUCAUUUCGUACUCGUGAGCCAGCUGCAGCUCAGCACUGGUCUUACCUCUAAGGGGAGGUGGCAGUGGGUAUGGCAGUUGGUGAUCGAUGUUCACUUCACCUGGGUUCUACUUGGCCACACCCCAAGGUCACCCCCAAUGAGUCAACAGCCUCCUGGUGAGUGGGGGCCAGGCUGGUCUUGUGCUUUUGACCAACAGAAAUCAGUGAAAGGGGUAGGAUGUCAGUCUGUUGACAAUGUCAUGUUGUACUUGAAGGAUGGUGGACUUCUCACCCAUCAUGCUCAUGUUCCCGUGAUGACUGGAGACAGCCUCUCCUGCUGGCCUUGCAGGAACAAACAGCCAAGUGCACUGCCCCUGGAUAGUGCCACGUGGUAGGGGACUGUGGGCAGUCAGCCUCCAGGACCCGAGGGUGGCCUCCAGCCAGAUACCAGGAAGAAGCUAUGGCCCUUGGCCAUGUAGUCACAGGGAAACACAUCUGCCAGCAUCCUGAAUGAGCUUGAAAGUGUAGUACCUCCAGAUGAGAACAGAGCUCAACCUACACCUGGAUUACAGCCACAGGAGACCCUGAGGGGAUGAUAGAGACCCAGCUAAAGCCAAGGACCAACUCCUGCCCUAUGGAAGCUGAGGUGAGUGCAUUUCUGUUUGUUUGUUUGUUUGUUUGUUUUUUAAGAUUUUAUUUAUUUAUUUAUGAGAGACACAGAGAGAGGCAGAGACACAAGCAGAAGGAGAAGCAGGCUCAUCGCAGGGAGCCCAACGUGGAACUCGAUCCCGGGACUCUGGGAUCAUGCCCUGAGCUGAAGGCAGACACUCAACCGCUGAGCUACCUAGGCAUCCCACAGGAAGAGCUUUGCAGAGGCCUGAGCAGCAAGAUUCCUCAACCGUUCUCCAGUUUAACACUAACAAGAUGCUGGGGCCUCCCAGACUCACACAAACAAACCGGAAUCGCUGCCUGGCUGCUGGAGGGGGACUUGGAAUGUGACUGGCUCCUCCUGUGCUCCAAAGGCUCCAUGUAGGAGGCAGGGCGGCAAAGAAGAGACCAGGAGCCAGCUAAGCCUCUGACCUACCUUCACAACGCAGGCUGUGAGCACAGUGAGUAAUGUUGGCACUUAGGUUCUCGACUCCCCGCUUCCACCCGUGAGAGGCCUUCUGAGGCAAAGAUUUAUGGGGUUUUGCAAAGAGUCAUUGAUCGAUGCAUGGACCAUGCAGUUAUUUAAAAUGAUGUCAACUAAGGAUUUUUGAUAACGUGGAGAAAUACCAUGGAAAACAUCAGAUAGGAGACAGUGCAUGCGCACGCAUGUGUGUGCGUGUGUGCACUCUCAGAGAAAUGCACCCAACUAUUGAAAGUAGUCAGUGGUGAGGUUGAGCAUGUGGCUAGUUUCUUUUUUAUAAGUAUUUCCUGAUUUUCUCCAAUGGACAUAUAUUGUAUUUCUAAAUCAGGAGAUGUGUCUUUUUUUUUUUUUUACAAUGAAGUAUAGCAGACAUUGAAAUGGCUCUCCAGUAUUUCUCCCCCCACCCCUCCCACCAUGCCACCUUUUUUCUGAUGAUUGAUUUCUGUGGCCCGUUUAGGUCCCCUUUACUCCAUUCUUGUGCUGGCUUGUUGCUUGGUAACAAGCAUUUUCACUGAUUGCUUGUUUCUCGUCAGCACUCGUUAGCAAUGCUGCAUUGCAGCAUGAUCUGCUGUGAAAUUAUCUCCGUCCAGGGCAAUAACCAAGACCAUCUAACCUCAGUGAUCACACCUUCCACCUAAUGAGAUGUGAGUGCCACUGCCAGCUUCCCAAAACAUUGCAUUUCAUUAAUGUCCCAGCAAGAAUAACACCUUGAAGAUUCGAGGGCCCUAGUUUUUGCUUCUAUGUGCAGCCAUGAAAAUCUCUCCUUUUAUCCUACCCCUGAUGUGCUGCUGGUCCUCAAUGUCUGUUCUUUGCCCUGUUGUGGCAAAUGCCUUCUGGCUACCUCCCUAGUAGCUCCCUCCCCACCUCUCUCCUUUUCCCGUAAAGAGAACCCAGAUUUUGUCCAGAUACCUACCUUCUAUCCACUGCAGGAGAAGCAGGACCCAGCUCAUAAGAGAGGAUCAUGACUGAACUAAGACAAGUGUGGUGGCGAGUUCCACACCCCUUGCCAGGAAGUGGUUUGGGCACAGGUGGAGAGGGUAAUUUUGGCCAACAAGACAUGAAGGGAGGUGGGCUGGAGUAGGAGAAAAGUGUCAUUGUUCCUAAGAAGCAAUACAUGAAUCAAAGAUGGUCCAGUUUGAACCAUGGUCCACACAUCCCAGUUUGGGAAGAUAGGGGCUGUAAGGCCCCUGUAGCCAUCUCAAAAGCAUGUGAUUCAAUACAUCAAGGACACAAGAGCCACAUGGUGGAGAGAAAGGGAAUCCUCGGCCGCACCACGGAGUCACUGAAUCAACACACCUAGGCUCACCCUUUCUCCUAAGUCCUUACGUGUGAGGUCAUAAAUCCCCUCUGUGUUGGAGCCACAUUGGGCUGGGUUUCUGCUAUUUAUAGCCAAAGCCUUCUAACUGAGCCAGUGCCAAAGUUAGACAUGUUUGAGUGAUGUGAAUCUCCUGAUCACCCGCUGCAGAGGGUGGCUCAUCUGUCCUGGAUCAUCCAGAGCACUCAUGGUUAAUGUCAUGAUUCUGGUACAGUUUCAACAGGAGCCCCAUUUUACUCUCCAGAGUGUCGUAGUCUCUGAGGAUCAAUUAUAUGGUCAUCAUUCUGAGUCAAGCUGUGUCCCUGCCAUAGUCAUGUGUUGAAACUCUGCCCCUAGUACCUCAAAAUGUGACCUUACUUGGAAUAAGGCUGUUACAGAUGUACUUCAUUAAAAUGAGUGGCCCCUAAUCCAAUCUAACUGGGGUUCUUAUAAAAAGGGGGAAAUUUGGAGAUAGAUCCUCCCCUAGAGCCUGCAGAGGCACAUGGCCCUGCUGACACCUCCAUCUAAGACUCCUGGCCUCCAAACUGUGAGACAGCACAUUACUGUGGACUAAGCCACUUGGUUUGUGGUACUUUGUUUCGAUAAUCCCAGGACAUGUGUACAGUCAACCUUCCUAAGGCUGCAUCUGAGAAGGAAGGAAUCUCUCCGGCUGCCGGUGAUCCAAGGUGUCAGCAUUUGAGAGGAGCCUUGAUUGAGGAAGGGAUGAUGUUUGGAGAGAGGGCCCGAAACAUGAGCCAAGGGCAAAAUUACAGAAAACUGUUAACUCAUCCUGACCCAAUGAGAUGGAGGCAAGGGAAGAGUCCAACUCCAGGGUACCUGGUGCUUCCUCUGAGGGGAGUAAUCCUGCUGUGAGGGGCAACAGCACAGGAGGUAGGGCAUUCCAUACUGUGUAGUCUUGGUCCAAAUAUACACCAAUAUGCAGAGGAGACAGCAGAAUGCUCAGAAACAGAUCCAUGUACCUGCGAGCAUCUAAUGUGUGACAGAGUCGGGUGGGCCUGCAGAGCUGUAGGGGAAAGACUUGGUUUCCAGCCAGUGGAGUGAAGAAAAUUAUGUACAUACACAUCUGUGAAAGAAACAGAACCCCUACCUCACAUCAUAUGCAAAAGUCAAUUCCUGGUGGAUCAAAGAAUUAAAUGUGAAAGGCAGAGCUACAGACUUUCAAAAGACACAACAGGAGAAUUAUCUUCAUGACUUCAUGAUUUCUUAAGUCAUUAAAAGCACUGAUCAGGGGCACCUGGUUGGCUCAGUGGGUUAAGCAUUUGCCCUCGGCUUAUGUCAUGAUCCCAGGGUCCUGGAAUCGAGUCCCACAGCUUUGUCAGGCUCCCUGCUCAGUGGGCAGUCUGCUUCUCCCUCUGCCCCUCCUUCUGCUCAUGCACACACACACUCUCUCUUUCUCUCAAAUCAAUAAAUAAAAUCUUUUAAAAAUAUAAAAGCACCAAUCAUACAUAAUGACAAAUCAAACUAAAUUAAAAUCAAGAAGUUGCUCAUCAAUAUGUGGCAACAAAAAAACAUGAAAAUGAGAAGGCCAGACUUAGAAUGGAAGGAAAUACCUGCAAGGGGUAUACAACCGGGGAUCCCUGGGUGGUUCAGCGGUUUAGCGCCUGCCUUUGGCUCCGGGCAUGGUCCUGGAGUCCCAGGAUCGAGUCCCGUGUCAGGCUCCCGACAUGGAGCCCACUUCUCUGUGGGCCUGUGUCUGCCUGUGUCUCUGCCUCUCUCUCUCUCUCUAUCAUGAAUAAAUAAAUAAAAUCUUAAAAAGAAAAAGAGGUAUACAACCAACCAAGGCCCAUCUUCCAAAUAUUUCAAGAGCUUCAAACAGAUGAGGAAAAAACAGACAACCCAAGAGAAAAAUGGGUAAAACACUGGACCAGGCACUGCACAGAAGAGGUUGUCUGGAUAGCCGGUAAACAUUUGAGAGAGGUGUUCCACCUUAUCAGAAGUCACACAAGUACUAUUAAAACUAUGAUGGGGUAUCUCUGUAUCUUCCAGGCUGACAAAAAUUUAAAAGUCUGGCUGAGAUACAGAGCAAGAGAAGGUGGGAGUGCAGUCUGGUACAAAGGCUUCCGAAAAUAGUUGGACAUUUUCUAGGAGAUUUGAAUUUUGGGUAUCAUGUGACUCCCAAGUGUACUUCCAGAUAUACAACCAAGGACACUCAUUCUCAGGUGUCCCAACCCCCUGGAGGGCUUCUGGGCCCCACUCCCAGAAUUUGAGUCCAAAGGUCUGGGUCGGACCCCAGAAUCUGCAUUUCUAACAAGUCCUUAGGUACUGCUGAAGCCGCUGCUCUGGGGACCACACUUUGGGUAACACCUAGAGAGAUGUGUGCUCAUGUGUUCCAGGAUACAGGGACAGGGGCGUUCUUGGAGUCAAUUGCUGCAAACAUCCAUCAGCAGUUGAAUGAAUAAAAUACAGUGUGUUCAUCCAGCAGAAUCCUAGAAAGCAUUGGGAAUGAAUGGCCGACACCACUUGCAAAAUAUGGAUGCAUCGUCCAAACCAUCUGAAUGUAAAACGCCAGACACAGAAGACCCUAAACGGUAUCAUUCCAGUCACAAAAACCUUCAAAGCAGGUUUAUUCAAAAUAUCCUUUAGGACCUGCAUUUGCAACUAUUGGUGUGGUAAGAAAAUGCUUGCCAGGGAGGAUUUCAAACCUGAGAAGUGAAUAUGCCCACUUACUUCAAAUUCAGCAGCUCAUUCUAUCAUGGCACUGAUAAACAUAAAAAGAGGGAAGCAAAAUUAUGUCUUAUAGAUUUAAUCUUUUCGAUUAACGUAAGCUUUGUAAAACUCUCUUAGGCAGCUGGUUUUUCCUUUUGAAGCCUUAAUUGGUUAAACCAUGGAGGGGAAAUCUGAUCGGGGGGGUACCGGACAGCCAAGAGGUGCUGGGCUGUGCACAUUUCAUGUGCGUUUUGCGGCCUCCCAGAGCCGCAUCAGCUGCAAAGGUACACACAAAAUAGGAGGCCACAUCUCAUCUGCUUCCAAUUACCCCAGCGCCGAGUGUGUCUAGUACAACCACACUUUUUAUAAAUGGCUGGGAAUUGGGCUGGAAGCCAAGGCUUCUUGAAUCCCAUUUCCUUCUCUAGGAUACAAAUUUCUUCCCAGAUGUGGGAAGCUGCAUUCACUUUUUCCUUUUCUCCCACUUCAAAACAGAGACGACAGUAAUGCACGUCCAGAGGAGAGUGAGAUCCAGGCAGCCCCUCCCUGUGGCAGGGAGUCCAUGGAGUCCCAAUUUCAUUUUGUCUCGCUGCUUUUGCUCCUGUCAUCUUCCCUCUUCAGACCUCAGAGGAUUUCAGUUUGCACUCUGACACUUGGCAACUGGCAAGAAGCAGGUUACAAGGAGCCCAAGUGGGAUUUGACAACACCGUGGUCUGAGAGCUAAACCAGCAGCAGCCCACAGCUACCGUGAGCUGGGAUGAGACACUUGGAGCCUGAGUCUCUAUCCUCCCAGCUGUCAAAUAGGACAACAAUGGUCUCUAACCACCUCAUGAGGAUGGACGAGGAGGUGAAGCUGCAGGGUGUCAUGAAGAAGAUCCUGCACCAUAGGUACACGUGAGAAGCCAAGAGCCACGAGACUAGGGCCCCUAACCCACUCCAUCUGAAUGGUGGCCUCCCAGUUAUAAAUAGAUGUGAUGACAUCUCCCUCCCUGUUGGCAUCUGCUAGCAAAUCAGAUUAAAACAAAAGCAAAAAAAAAAAAAAAAACAACUUUGAACAUGAUAGAAGCAAAGUAUUGUUUUAAGACAUGAAGACAUGGGAUGCCUGGGUGGCUCAGUGGUGAGCACCUGCCUUCAGCUCAGGUUGUGAUUCCGGGAUCCCAGGAUUUUAUCCUGCAUCAGGCUCCCUGCAGGGAGCCUGCUUCUCCUUCUGCCUAUGUCUCUGACUCUCUCUGUCUCUCAUGAGUGAAUAAAUAAAAUAU